UACGGGGGGGGCAAGCGUUGUUCGGAAUUACUGGGCGUAAAGGGCUCGUAGGUGGCCAACUAAGUCAGACGUGAAAUCCCUCGGCUUAACCGGGGAACUGCGUCUGAUACUGGAUGGCUUGAGUUCGGGAGAGGGAUGCGGAAUUCCAGGUGUAGCGGUGAAAUGCGUAGAUAGUCUGGAGGAACACCGGUGGCGAAGGCGGCAUCCUGGACCGACACUGACACUGAGGAGCGAAAGCCAGGGGAGCAAACGGG
rnacentral:rRNA from 1 species